UUAUGGACUUGUAUUGGACCAUGCUGGCCCUUUAAGAACCAUCUGGGGACAUAUUGAGACUUUGUGUGACAAUGCCCCUUUAAGACUAUGUCCCCAGACCUUUAAAAUACUUUGUCUAUGGCUUUCUCCCACUUGGUUCAGUAAAUGGAGAUUACUGAACCAAGUACCACACAGGAGGGCCACCCAGAAGUGGAAGUGUGCAGGCAAUUUACCUCCCAGACUGGGAGUCUGCUGUAGGUAAAUUGCCAACCGCUGGGUGGCCGCAGUUCGUGCAAGCGAACACGUGGCGGCGGCCAUCUUUGUUCAUUCGAACGGGGGCAGCAGUAUGUGUAGCCAAAUUCAUGGAACUGAAAUCGGCUACACGUUUCAACGAACACAUCAUGAAGUUUCGGCUCAUGUUUGUGGGAUUGGAG